CUAUAAGCCCGAACUAUCGCUGUUCCUUUUAUGGGAGAGAGGAAAGUCUGGACAGCAUAGAGCAGCUCACCGGCGAAUAGCCGGGAUCCAUUUUUGGAUACAGAAAGUGCCACAGAAAAUUACCGCCAUCUUGAUGGUAAGGGUGAAAACGGGAGGUAAGAGCUCCCGGUAAUUAUUAGUAAUAGUAGUUACGGGUAAACCUUGAGCGCUGCAAUGCCAUGUAUAUGAUCGUCCGAAGGCGGCUCGCUUGAUGUCAGCAAUGGCAACGAUCAAGGGUAGGCAGUUAGAGUGCAACAGUAAUGUUGCACCUAGAUAAAUGAUAGUAUUGGAACAGAAUCCGGCUUACGAGGCUUAUAGUUUU
rnacentral:RNase_P_RNA from 1 species